AUAAGCAUAUCAAUAAGCGGAGGAAAAGAAACCAACAGGGAUUGCCCUAGUAACGGCGAGUGAAGCGGCAACAGCUCAAAUUUGAAAUCUGGCCCCCCCACGGGGGUCCGAGUUGUAAUUUGCAGAGGGUGCUUUGGCGUUGGCUGUGGUCUAAGUUCCUUGGAACAGGACGUCGCAGAGGGUGAGAAUCCCGUAUGUGGCCGCCAGUCUUCGCCGUGUAAAGCCCCUUCGACGAGUCGAGUUGUUUGGGAAUGCAGCUCUAAAUGGGAGGUAAAUUUCUUCUAAAGCUAAAUAUCUGCCAGAGACCGAUAGCGCACAAGUAGAGUGAUCGAAAGAUGAAAAGCACUUUGGAAAGAGAGUCAAAAAGCACGUGAAAUUGUUGAAAGGGAAGCGCUUGCAGUUAGACGUGCCUCUAGUUGCUCAGCCGGGCCUUCGGGCCCGGUGCACUCUUCUAUUGGCAGGCCAGCAUCAGUCUGGGCGGUCGGAUAAAGGCCCAUUAAACGUGACUCCCUCCGGGGAGAGCUUAUAGGGUGGGCGACAUGCGACCAGCCCGGACUGAGGUCCGCGCAUCUGCUAGGAUGCUGGCUUAAUAACUGUAAGCGGCCCGUCUUGAAACACGGACCAAGGAGUCUAACAUCUAUGCGAGUGUUUGGGUGUCAAGCCCGGACGCGUAAUGAAAGUGAACGGAGGUGGGAUCCCUUCGGGGUGCACCAUCGACCGAUCCUGAUGUCUUCGGAUGGAUUUGAGUAAGAGCAUAGCUGUUGGGACCCGAAAGAUGGUGAACUAUGCCUGAAUAGGGUGAAGCCAGAGGAAACUCUGGUGGAGGCUCGCAGCGGUUCUGACGUGCAAAUCGAUCGUCAAAUUUGGGC
rnacentral:rRNA from 1 species